CCUACGGGUGGCUGCAGUGGGGAAUAUUGGACAAUGGGCGAAAGCCUGAUCCAGCCAUGCCGCGUGUGUGAAGAAGGCCUUCGGGUUGUAAAGCACUUUCAGUGGGGAAGAAAGCCUUGGGGCUAAUACCCUCGAGGAAGGACAUCACCCACAGAAGAAGCACCGGCUAACUCCGUGCCAACAGCCGCGGUAAUACGGAGGGUGCGAGCGUUAAUCGGAAUUACUGGGCGUAAAGCGCGCGUAGGCGGUCUGAUAAGCCGGUUGUGAAAGCCCCGGGCUCAACCUGGGAACGGCAUCCGGAACUGUCAGGCUAGAGUGCAGGAGAGGAAGGUAGAAUUCCCGGUGUAGCGGUGAAAUGCGUAGAGAUCGGGAGGAAUACCAGUGGCGAAGGCGGCCUUCUGGACUGACACUGACGCUGAGGUGCGAAAGCGUGGGUAGCAAACAGGAUUAGAUACCCGUGUAGUC
rnacentral:rRNA from 1 species